GGAUGGAUCAUUCUUAUAAAUUAAAACCAACCUAAGCUAAAACCACUUUUAUUCUGUAAUUCCAUUAUAUUUAAAACCUAUAAUGAUGGAUGACUCGGCUCCUUGAUCGAGGAAGGACGCAGCCAACUGUGUUAAGCGAAUGGAUCUGCAUCUUCCAUGAAACUUCGGUAUCUGAACGCAAUAGCGAUGCAAAUUUAUUUGCGUCGUGUUCGGUUCGGUGUUAUAUAAAUUCCCUCUCAAGAGGUGGCUAUCCGAUCAUGGAUUUUAUGGAGGCAAUGUCUAAAAGUGAUACUACUUGCGGAGCCUACAUUUCCUUUAACCCGAGCUGAGCAAGAUUACUCGCUGAAUUUAAGCAUAUAAUUAAGCGAAGGAACAGAAAAUAACAUUAAUUUCCUGAAUAGUGGCGAACGAAAAGGAAAAAGCGCAAUGUGUAAAUCGAAUUCACUAAUUCGAGUUGUACAUGACUGCCAAUAGUACCUGAAACUAGAUGGAGGUGUUUGGAAAAUCCCCCCUUUGGCGGUGAAAGGCCGCAGCAUCUAUUGGAGGGUUUUACAUUGGUAGUCAGCGGAGUAACAUUCUUUGGGCGUAGAAUGUAAAUUGGGUGGUAACUAUCAUCUAACGCUAAAUAUUACAAGGAGACCGAUAGCAAACAAGUACCGUGAGGGAAAGUUGAAAAGCACUCCGGAAGGAGAGUUAAAAUGCCUGAAAUCAUUAUGGUGGAAGCGUGUGCUAUAUUGCAUCUUUCCUCGAUAUACUCGUGGUUAGAAUUUCACAUCCCUUGCGGCGCGAUCUUUUGGCAUUUAUGUCGAAGUAGCAUCUGCAUAGGAAUGUCUAAUCUGGCACACGGCCCGUCUUGAAACACGGACCAAGGAGUUAAACAUUUGUGCGAGUGUAAGAAUUAGAAAUUCAAACGCGGAGUGAAAGCAAAUGCUGUUCCACAACAGCGGCCGACUAUAUAGUUGAGCUAGAGCAUAACUGUUUAGACCCGAAAGAUGGUGACCUAUACCUGAGCAGGGUGAAGCCAAGGGAAACCCUGGUGGAAGCUCGUAGCGAUACUGACGUGCAAAUCGUUCGCUUGACUUGGGCAUAGGGGCGAAAGACUAAUCGAACCAUCUGGUAGCUGGUUCCCUC
rnacentral:misc_RNA from 1 species